rnacentral:rRNA from 1 species
UACGUAGGGUGCGAGCGUUAAUCGGAAUUACUGGGCGUAAAGCGUGCGUAGGUGGUUCGGUAAGUCAGAUGUGAAAGCCCCGGGCUCAACCUGGGAACGGCAUUUGAUACUGUCGGGCUAGAGUUUGGUAGAGGGAAGUGGAAUUCCACGUGUAGCGGUGAAAUGCGUAGAUAUGUGGAGGAACACCAGUGGCGAAGGCGGCUUCCUGGACUAAAACUGACACUGAGGCACGAAAGCGUGGGGAGCAAACAGG